rnacentral:rRNA from 1 species
GAUUAACGUUGGCAGUGCGCCUAACACAUGCAAGUCGAGCGAUAUAGCGGCAGACGAGAGAGUAAUAGUAAGGAACUUACCCCCGAGUGAGGGAUAGCCAGCCGAAAGGUUGGGUAAUCCUGCAUAAUAUCGAAAGAUCAAAGCCUUCGGGCGCUUGGGGAGAGGCCUUACUCCUAUCAGCUAGUUGGUGAGGUAAAGGCUCACCAAGGCGAUGACGGGUAGCUGGUCUGAGAGGAUGAUCAGCCUCGAUGGGACUGAGACACGGCCCAUACUCCUACGGGAGGCAGCAGUUGGGGAUUUUGCACAAUGGAGGAAACUCUGAUGCAGCGACACUGCGUGAAGGAUGAAGGUUUUCGGAUCGUAAACUUCUUUUAGUGGGGAGUAAUCUUGAAAGUACCCACUGAAUAAGGACCGGCUAACUACGUGCCAGCAGCCGCGGUAAU